UACGGGGGGGGCAAGCGUUGUUCGGAAUUACUGGGCGUAAAGGGCUCGUAGGCGGCCAACUAAGUCAGACGUGAAAUCCCUAGGCUCAACCUAGGAACUGCGUCUGAUACUGGAUGGCUUGAAUCCGGGAGAGGGAUGCAGAAUUCCAGGUGUAGCGGUGAAAUGCGUAGAUAUCUGGAGGAAUACCGGUGGCGAAGGCGGCAUCCUGGACCGGCAUUGACGCUGAGGAGCGAAAGCUGGGGGAGCAAACGGG
rnacentral:rRNA from 1 species